rnacentral:rRNA from 1 species
GGGUUCUACCGUUGGUCGGGCUAACCAGUCUGUACUAGCGUGUAGAAUUCUUACCUUCUGGGGAACCAUCAUGUUAUUAAUUUAGCGUGGUGGGAAACCAGGACCUUUACCUUGAAAAAAUUAGAGUGUUCAAAGCAGGCUUACGUCUGAAUACAUUAGCAUGGAAUAAUAAAAUAGGACGGUGGUCCUGUUUUGUUGGUUUCUGAAUCACCGUA